ensembl:lncRNA
AUGACGUCACUAGCGACGCAUCGGGCGCGGCCAGCGCGACUUCAAAAGGCCGCUCCCCGAUCGGGUUAUUACGUACAGUCCGGCUGGAAACUGCGAGGAGGGAGUAGGGGUUGUGUGUUGUUCUAGAAAGUCCUCGACCUUGCAGGGGUGAUAAAUUGGAAGGAGGGCAGGCGGGGCGAGUACAAUGCUGGAAAGACCCAAACACAUUUGUUUGUGACCUUAGCCAAUAUGGUGAAUAUAUGCAUCCUUUCUUUAUGCUUUGCUUUGUAAACCAGAAGCAGUUUAGUGAAAAGAACAUGGAUUUUUGGAGUCCGGCAGAUACAGAAUGAAAGCCAAAAAGUUAACUGUAUAGAGAUGUGCAGAACAACAUUAAAUAUUAUGACUCAAAAGCAGGGACGAAGGUAAAUUUGAAAGAAGAGUAAGAGAGAAAAUGUUUACAGGCCAUUACAAGUUCUUAAGUUAAUAGUAAAUAAGGAAUCAAUUGCUCAAGUUGAAGAAAGCAGUAAACAAGAGAUUGCAUUUACAUGCAGAUGUCUAAAAUUUGUAUUUUUUUAAGUCUAUGCACAAAAGUCAUUUGUUUUAUUGCUUGACAUUCAGUUAUGGCUAGAUUAUUUAACCUAUUUUUUUUGUACUUUGGAAACAAGAAUAUUGUUAAAGGUGCCAUAAAAAUGGACAACAUUGAAAACGGUUUGCAAAUAAACCACCUAACACUGCAGUUCUUUCUACAUGUUAAAAGCCUUGUCUGGGGUUUGUCAUAUGUUAAAUAUAUUUAAACUGGGAAAAUAUGUUGUAGCUUGAAGCCUCCCAUUGGCCCAAACAUCCAAUACAAAAACACAUCUCCACAAAAGGAGCAGGCAGACAAUACAGGUACAUUUAAAGAAGCAGCCAGCUAAUGUCCUAAUGGUUAAAAAUUUACCACUGUUUUAUAUGAGAUUUCGAACCACUGUGGAUAAGAAGAGAAUUUUUGGAUUCAGGAAGAUGUGUACAGUACAUAUGGAUUUUUUUUGUGAAAUCAUAUUCACUAUAUUGCUCAAGAAUUAUCUGCAUUUACGUCUGCAAUCUGUUCAAUGAUAACCAAGUUCCUAGAAAUAGUAUUCAUCCACAUUAAAGUAACAACGAGUGAGCAAGGAAUCACACACAAACACUGGAGAGAAUUUAGUUGCUCGCAGAGAACAACACAAUGUCAUGUGCCACAUGUCAAAGCUAGUAGCAAGCUCUCUUUCAUUAGUUCUUAGAAGGAAAAAAGAAAAAGAAGUGUGAUACUGCUGAUGUGGCAAACACGCUAAACGUCAACAGCAAACACGAUUCUCUAGGCAUGUAUCUAAAAUAGAUUCACUUUCUCAACACAAGAGUCCAUGCUAUGUUGCAUUGUGGAAAAAAGGUGGUUUCUAUUUGGACUGAAUAUUCUGUCGUUCAUUUAUAAAUAAAUAAAUGACUGAAUGUCUUUAUUGCUCUAAGUUCUGAGGGUCUGGUUAAAUAUGGAGAUCCCCCAUCUACGGUGUUUCCUUGGCAUGAAACCAGGCUUCUGGGUUAUUUUUAAAAUUGUUCUGAGAGCCUGGUAAAACUGAUCUCACUUACACAAACAAACAAGCAAAUGGACCCAGAAGUGAACCCAAUUGCUCUGUAAAGACAUUGCUCGCCAGCUUUCUCAUCUCUUAAGAAUAAACAAUAAUAGGAAGGUCUCUCUAAUAAAAUCUGGUGGAUUCUCUUUAACGAUACUAGUAUUUAGAGAUAGAAUGAAGAUCUAUAUCAAUAGACUAUUAGCAAUAGAUAAGAUUUCCUGUGCAAUUGCAUUUCCGGGCACAUAAUGUGAACUAUAGUAUAAAGUUGUUUUUGUAGGGUUCUGCUGUGUCAUAUCUUUAUAAAUAAAAAGUGGCAAUAAAAUGUUACAAUAUGUAAAAAUGUCAAUAACCUCUGUGUGUGUAUAUAUGUAUACGCAUGGAGAGAGAGAAAGAGAGAGAGAUUUCUGCCAUUUUCUGUAGUCUUUAUCAAAAAUAACAAGAUAACGCUUUCUUUUUUAUCUAAACGACAUUGAAAGUUUUCCCAAAUUAUGCUCUCCUGUGUUAGGAAGAAAAUAUGUAGAUUUUUUCUGAAUGUGUAUCACAGGUGUAGAAAAAUCAAAACCAACAAUUACACUGAGGUGCGCUGACUUUAUGGAAAAUAAUAUAUGGAAAUAUGAGAACAAAACUGUAUUUCAAAAAUGUAAAAUGGAACCCUGAAAGCUGGCUCAUGUUGCUGUUAUCCAAGUGUGUUUUGUUUGUCUUUAAACAUUAGCUCUCAGUAGAUAAAAACUACAAAUGUGGAAGUAGAAGAAUUGUGUCACAUAAAGGGAUUUUUUGGUUUGCUUCUAAAGGAGAACACAGUGAAAAUAACAGUUAUCUGCUGGUAUUUAAAAGACGUGUUUCAUCUUUUACCUCUCUCACUGCACUGAUAGGCAGGGCUCUCAUCUCAUUACUGGUUUCUAAAAUUUUUAUCCAUACUAUGUCGAAUCGGAAAUAGUUUUUAAUAUAUAAUGCUAUAAAUAUAUUUAUCAUGAAUAUCUUACUUGUUAGAGAAACGGUAAAUGGAGUAUGCAGGACUGUCCUUUGAGUGAUGCUCUCUGUUGGUACAUUACCCAUUCAUUUAUCUUUUGAACAUACCGGCAUGACUUUGUACUGCUUUGCAAGUUAUUCAGCGUUUUUAAGUACACGAGACUGAAGAACACAUAAGUUUUGAACUCAAGAAAAUGAGAUGAUAGUGGAGAGUUUACACACACACGCGAUUCUAUACAGUUCACUUGUGCCUUGGAGGGAUAGUAUUAUCAUUAUUAUGAAUAAUAAAAAACACAAUUUGUCCCAGUAGUACUGGCCACCCUGUUUUAAGAGUUUAGAAGAUCCCUGAGCACAUUGUUUCUGACUCUUACCCCAACUCCAAAGUGAUAGGGCUUCUAUUGUUGAUAGCAAGAUGGAUUGUCAUUCACAGUAAGUCAAUCAUAAGGUGCUUAUUUACCCUUUGUUUUUCACCAAUCAGCACAAAGAACUGUCAGAAAAUAACUUUUUAUUAUUAUUAUCUUAAAAUAAUAGCACUGGAAAGACACAUGAUUUAAACAAUCAAUGUUUGAAACAGUGGCUUUAGGAUUAUUAUCUGGCUGCCCC